CUAAUUACUUCAUCCAGAACACCUGUGUAUGUUUAACAGCUGUAAGCUAUGUAUAUAUUGAAACGCAGUUUAUAAUAAACUCAGAGUGGCCAUCAGCCCUCUCCGCAUCUAUCCUGGUGUGUACACUGGAUCGCGACAUCGACACAUGUGCAAGAUUUGCCUUUCAGAUCAUGCUCAAACUGAGCUGAAAAGGUCUCUGUGGCUUAGUAGAUGGAAUACAAGAAAAGGAAUGUUCCUGUACCAAUGCUUGCAAACAGGAAGGAGAACUAGGAGGGGACCAUCAGUUCUGAGAAAAUCUGGGGAGCUAGAAAUGGAUGAUACUGGAUAGACUGUCAGUGUGAAAGGGAGCAGCCUCAACCCAGCGUUCCACAGAUUAAGAAUGCUUCUUUUCGGUCAGCUGCUCUGAACGUUUCAAGUCCUGAAAUCAACAAAAAGUCGUAGUGGGCUGUAGGAUAGCUUUCACGGCCAUUAACAAAUGACUUCACUGUAAUGAUCAUACCCACUCUAAUAUAUGGACCAAAGUGACAGGUGACCCACAUUUCCUUCAGGCUAAACUCUGUGAACUGCAUUUGAGAGACAUGUUUCCUGACCCCAAAGAGAAACAGUAAUUUGAGGUACUUCCAGACAGGAAUAGCAAACAGGAGGGGAAAAUGGAAAUAAGUAGAAAUGCUAAUUAGGUUUCCAAGCGCAAAGUAUAUUCAAGUCUUUCUCUUUUAAAAGAAUGUUCUAUUUCAGCAACUUGAAUUAAGAUCUCUAUUCUGACUUGCCUGUUCCUAAAACAAAAGCAAACAGCCUACAGGCCUCACUCAUUCCACAGAGCCCUCUAACAAAAUUUCCACUACACAGAGAAAAUGACGUGAAAACAGCCCAGUGUCAACUCCACAGGACACUUGAAAUUGAGAGCUAUUCCAAUCCUGAAGUCUGUAAGUUUUUUGUAAAGGACAAAAUAGUAAAUAUUUGAAGCUUCGAAGUGUAUAAGGUCUCUGUUGCAACAAUUCAAUUACUGUCAUAUUAGGAAAGCUGCUAUGCAUAUAUCAUAGAUAAUACAUGAAUGAAAUGGUAAGGCUGUGUUAAAAAGAAAAAAAAUCUGUAUUUAUGAAAACAUGUAGCAGGCUGGAUUUGGGCCACAGGCCAUAGUUUACUGACCCCUGUAUUUAUUCGCAAGCAAUGAAUGGAAAUCCAAGGAUUAACAUAUAUUUGAAGAAAAUAGUGUGAAAGAAAAAGACUAAGACGCAACACAACAAUGCAAUUUAUUCAAAGGAAACAAAUAUGUCACGGAAAAGAAGUAAAGUUGUUGGAAAAUCAAAGCAGUACCCUCAGAAAAAUUGCCUACUAAAUAAAAAAAAAUCACAACUAAAGAAUAAGAAAGUGAUGCUGUAAAAUAAGUAUAAAAUGGCAACUUAAAAAAAAGCAAUAGGUAGACUAAAUAUUAAAAUGUAAAUGACUUAAAUUCAACAUAAACAGAAAGAAAAAAAAUACAUGUAAUAAAGGACAGAAAGUUUAAGGGGCAUGAAAAACAGGUACAAGAAGAAUAACAUUUAUCUAAUUCCAGAAAUACAGAAUAGAGAAAUGAGAAAAGAAAAUAAUAAAUGAAACAAAGAAAACUUCCCAGUAUUAACUAAUAGCAGGUCUUUAUAACAGCAUAAUUUAUAAAAUGCCAAACAAGAAAAUUCAUACAUACGCACAUUGUGAUGACGACAAAGAACUCCAAAUAUAAAAAUGAAAGUCCUUGAAGCUUCCAGAGAAAGAGAGAAUAAGAAAAAAUGUGAAGAGAGUAACAUUUUUUUCCUCCAGAAAGAAUAAGAAAUAGAAAGAGAACAAAAAACCUGUCACAAGCAACAAUAUAUACCAGACAACACUGGAGAAGUGCCUUCACUCUUCUUUUUUUUUUAAAGAUUUUAUUUUUUUCCUUUUUCUCCCCAAAGCACCCCGGUACAUAGCUGUAUAUUCUUCCUUGUGGGUCCUUCUAGUUGUGGCAUGUGGGAUGCUGCCUCAGCGUGGUUUGAUGAGCAGUGCCAUGUCCGCGCCCAGGAUUCAAACCAGCGAAACACUGGGCCGCCUGUAGAGGAGCGCACGAACUUAACCACUCGGCCACGGGGCCAGCCCCUGCCUUUGCUAUUCUUGGGGAAACAAUUUUGAGGUUAGAUUUCUAUGCUAAGUCAAAAUAUUGAUCAAGGCUGAUGACAAGAUAAAUAUGUUUUUGGAUAUUCAAAGACAGAAUUCCUUGGCAUUCCAUUCAAAAUUUCUUGAAAUGGGAUUGUAUUAAGGUACUUUUUAAAUGCCACACAUAGCACAGACAACUAAAUGUGUGUACUCUUCUUAUUUUUGCUUAUGAUAAUCCAUAAAUGUGUAAUUUCAUUUGACUCAGCCAAGUGUAGAUAGACAUAUAAUUUUACUGAUAGUCUUAGACAUAGAACUAAGUCUGGAUGGCACAGAUGGUCUGGGAAACUAAGUACAGUCUUAGUAUUGUCUUUACUCUUUUUGCAUGCAAUUAACAGUGGGGAAAUUCACGGUUAUACCUAUUAUAGCGUUAACCACAUGGUGAUUAGGGGAACGUGCUGGGUACUGUUUUGUUUUGUUUUUUUAAUUACUUGGUCAUAAAAUACUUUAAUUUUUCAGCAGUAAAUGUUCCUACUUCUUCCUUACUCAUCUACAGUCUAAUUCCACCAAUAGACUUGAUCUCUCAAAUUUCAUAAGACUUUCUAAUUAUUGAACCAAUAGGAUCUUGCCUUACCUGUCUUGAUUUUACUGCAAUCACUUGAGUUAUUUCACAAUUUUGUCUAAUGUCUCCUUAUUAUAUCCUUCUAUUGCUUGGUCUCUGAAAAAUCUGAAGUCUCUUUUUUUAAUCUCUUCACUUGACCCUUCUUAGUUUUCUUUUCUGGUUUUCCUUGUUUAACCACCACUUAAGUUCUUAGUGCUUAGCUUUUUCCCACUGCAUUCUCAUAGAACAAAAGCAUUUUCCAUUAUGACCAAAGUAUUAACUACUCGGUUAGUCCCCCAUCUGUAUCUUUCCCCCUGAUAUUUCUCCAGACUUCCAAAGAUGAAAUUCAGAAGACCUGCAGAUAUCGUCCCACGGAUGCCACAUCAAGCCUCUAAUUCAACAUCUCUAAAAUAAAAGUGUUAUUACCCAUCCUCCCAACUUAGGUCUGUUCCUAGAUUCAGUAUCCUCGGUAAAGGGUACUUCCAUCUCUCUUGAACAUGUAGCCCUGGUACCUUGCCAAUUUUUGGCUCUUCCUUCAUCUUCUUCUCCCAUGACUCUUCUCUUUCCUUGAUUUCAAUCUUCCAAUCAGUUACCACCAAUUAACUGUAAGUAGAAAAAUGAAAAGAAUAUUCCUGAGUCAUGCUGAGGAAAAAAUAGAUACUUGACUAAAGAUUGCUGUUGCUUGAUUUAAAAUCAAAUGUAGAAGGUGAGAGUAAGAACUACAUUUCUCAUAGUAAUAGAGAUAUUUGAGAAGAUGCUAGGUAGGGAAAGAAGAGCACCAGGGGAGAGGUGUUUGUCAAAUUUCCUACACUCUGCAUUCAUAGACAUUCUCUUCUCCUAUAAUAGUCCUAGGAAUCCCCCAAAACAAAUUCCAUUUUCCAGAUAACUGAAUAUUUCUUUAUCAAAGCUGAACCAGGAAUCUCAGUGAUAUCUUUCUGAAAGUACGCUGUCAAUUUUCUGCAAUGCUAAUCAAAGAAGGAAAUUCUCCUCUUCGUGGGACUCUCAAGUUGCACCAUGAGAACGUAUUGUGGUAGUUUAACGCAUCUUAGUGUCGCCGGCAAACUGGGGCAAGAAUGAACUUCUUCUCUAUUCAUUAAACUUUUCAAACACGUGUUUAGAUUUUUUGUUUUCAAUUCACAUAGUAUAAUUUUUUUCCUUCUUUCCAUAAAGGUCAGCUAUUUUACUGCCACCGAGAAAGUCGGUUUCCCUCUUUCCAAAUACCUUCUUAAAAUUUUCCAAGGAUUUGGAAAUCAGACAACUCAGCCUAGAAUGUUGAAAUUUUACAAUGUUAAAACUUCUUAAAAUUGCCCCACAAUAUCUGUUAAUAGGUUUUGUGUAAAGACAAGAUAAAUGCACUCUUUAUGAACAUUAUGUUACUUUGUUAUGUAUUUCCCUUCUCAGAAAACUUUUGAGUUGUUCCUAAUUUUCCACAAUGUUUCAGAGAGUGGUGAAUGCCAGAACACCGAUGACUAUAUUACUCUGACCUUUUACUGUAGUUGAGAAGCUUUGACUUACACAUAUUUUAAAUUAUUCCUCCUUCAGAUUAAGUUCCAUUUCCUUUCACUUAGCCCUCUGUGGAGAUGAAUAACAGCUGAUGUCUUGCCUCAGCCGCUAAACCUGCAUAACACCUGAAUACUAUUAUUUGAUCACUUCUUCAACAUAAGGGGGGGGUUUUAGAUUUCUGCUUCAGAAAUGAUGUCUCCUCUGGAACAGAGCAAUGACUUUAGAAGUGCCCUCAGUGCAUCCAGGGUCCUUCUGCAAACCCAUUCUUGGCACUGACCUAUGGUUCCCUGUCGGAAACAGGGAUCAAACCACCCUCAUACCCUAUCCUCAGUCAUCCCCAUUUCUUCCACUGUGAUCAGAGAAUGGGUCUGGAGGAAAGCAGGCUAUGGACAGGGUAUUGUCAUCCACACCACAGAAGAGGAGAAGAAGAUUGUUUGCAACUUGUUCUCUCAUCCUCCAUCCAACUAGUUUUGCUGAAAGAUUUUACUUAAGAAGGGGCCAUUACACCUUAUACAAAAUUUAACUCAAAAUAGAUUAUAAAUCUAAGUGUAAAAUGUAUAGCUAUAAAACUUUCAGAAUAAAACAUAGGAGAAAAUCCUCAUGAUUUAGAGUUCAGCAAAUAGUUCUUGGACAUGACAUCAAAAAUAUGAUCCAUGCGAGAAAAUAAACUAAAACCUUAUUUAGAUUUCACUAAUUGUCACUGGCAUUUCUGUGUAUAUGUGUGUUUGUAUGUAAUACUGUGAACUUUUAACAUGUGUAUAGUAACUAUCACCAGAACCAGGGUACAGAGCUAUGUCAUCACCACAAAGGAAAAUGAGUUGAUCCGUUUUAUAUUACUAUAAGUUUGUCAUAUUAAGAAUAUUAUAUAAAUGGAAUCAUAUAGCAUGUGAUAUUUUGAUAUUAGCUUUAUUUAAUAUGUGUCAUACAUUUGAAACUCAUCUAAGUUGUGAAUAUCAUUAGUUUGCUCUUUUUAUGUCUGAGUAGUAUUGUAUGGAUGUCCCACUGUUUAUCUUUUUGCCACUUGCAUGACAUUGGGUAGUAUGCAUUUUUUGGCAAUUACAAAUAAAGUUGCUAGAAACUUGUGUGUAGAGGUUUUUGUGUGCAUAUAUACAUUCAAAUACCCUGCACAGCAGAUCAAUAAUGACAUUUUAAAUAACAUUUUGUAUCAACAUCUUCAUUUUAAGGAAUUGUGUAUAAAUAAUGAACAUAAUACAAUUAACAAAAGGCAUAAAGAGAUGUUUUUAGUAAUAAUUUUCUGAAGUUUACUUAGAAACAGAUUGAGCAGUAAUUCUUGGGUGACUUUUAGUAAAUUUGGGUUCUCUAUUAGUAUCUUUUUAACUGUUCAGUGUAACUUUUCUCUUUAUAAAUACUUUUUUAAAAUAGUCAUAAUUUAGCUAAAACUUGAAUGAAAAGCUUAUACAGUAGUUUUGCUGGUUAGUCUACCUAUGUUUUAAAAUGUCCUUUAGUUUCUAG
rnacentral:lncRNA from 1 species